rnacentral:rRNA from 1 species
UACGUAGGGAGCAAGCGUUGUCCGGAAUCAUUGGGCGUAAAGCGCGCGUAGGCGGCCUCAUAAGUCCGUUGUGAAAGUCGAAGGCUCAACCUUUGAAAGCCGAUGGAUACUGUGAGGCUAGAGUCCGGAAGAGGCGAGUGGAAUUCCUGGUGUAGCGGUGGAAUGCGCAGAUAUCAGGAGGAACACCAAUAGCGAAGGCAGGUCUCUGGGCCGCAACUGACGCUGAGGAGCGAAAGCAUGGGGAGCGAACAGG